rnacentral:rRNA from 1 species
UUGAACGCUGGCGGCAUGCCUUACACAUGCAAGUCGAACGGUAACGGGUUAAGCCGACGAGUGGCGAACGGGUGAGUAAUAUAUCGGAACGUGCCCAAUCGUGGGGGAUAACGCAGCGAAAGUUGUGCUAAUACCGCAUAAGAUCUACGGAUGAAAGCGGGGGAUCGCAAGACCUCGCGCGAGUGGAGCGGCCGAUAUCAGAUUAGCUAGUUGGUGGGGUAAAGGCCCACCAAGGCGACGAUCUGUAGCUGGUCUGAGAGGACGACCAGCCACACUGGGACUGAGACACGGCCCAGACUCCUACGGGAGGCAGCAGUGGGGAAUUUUGGACAAUGGGCGCAAGCCUGAUCCAGCAAUGCCGCGUGCAGGAUGAAGGCCUUCGGGUUGUAAAGCUCUUUCGGUGGGAACGAAACGGUACGCGCGAAUAACGUGUGCUAAUGACGGUACCCAAAGAAGAAGCACCGGCUAACUACGU